CCUACGGGUGGCAGCAGUGGGGAAUAUUGCACAAUGGGGGAAACCCUGAUGCAGCAAUGCCGCGUGAGUGAAGAAGUAUUUCGGUAUGUAAAGCUCUAUCAGCAGGGAAGAAAAUGACAGUACCUGACUACGAAGCCCUGGCUAACUACGUGCCAGCAGCCGCGGUAAUACGUAGGGGGCAAGCGUUAUCCGGAUUUACUGGGUGUAAAGGGAGCGUAGACGGCUGCGCAAGUCAGAAGUGAAAGCCCCGGGCUCAACCGCGGAACUGCUUUUGAAACUGUGUAGCUAGAGUGCAGGAGAGGUAAGUGGAAUUCCGAGUGUAGCGGUGAAAUGCGUAGAGAUGAGGAGGAAGACCGGUGGCGAAGGCGGCUUACUGGACUUUAACUGACGUUGAGGCUCGAAAGCGUGGGGAGCAAACAGGAUUAGAUACCCCAGUAGUC
rnacentral:rRNA from 1 species